GCCAUGACUCAUUGGUAGAGCAUCUGCUUUGCAUGCAGAAGACACCAAGUUCAAUCUCUGGCUUCUCCA